GGAUCCAGACUUUGAUCAUGGCUCAGGAUGAACGCUAGCUACAGGCUUAACACAUGCAAGUCGAGGGGAAACGACAUCAAAAGCUUGCUUUUGAUGGGCGUCGACCGGCGCACGGGUGAGUAACGCGUAUCCAACCUGCCCACCACUUGGGGAUAACCUUGCGAAAGUAAGACUAAUACCCAAUGAUAUCUCUAGAAGACAUCUGAAAGAGAUUAAAGAUUUAUCGGUGAUGGAUGGGGAUGCGUCUGAUUAGCUUGUUGGCGGGGUAACGGCCCACCAAGGCAACGAUCAGUAGGGGUUCUGAGAGGAAGGUCCCCCACAUUGGAACUGAGACACGGUCCAAACUCCUACGGGAGGCAGCAGUGAGGAAUAUUGGUCAAUGGACGAGAGUCUGAACCAGC
rnacentral:rRNA from 1 species